rnacentral:rRNA from 1 species
AUGAUGAGGUCCACUAGUCACGGCGACUUGUACCCGUUCUUCGGCAACUCCGACGUCCAGCAUGCUCUCUCCGUCGUCGACACCCUGUGGCACCUCCGCCUAGGCCACCCCAGCAAUAACUCCAUCUCCAUUUUAGCUAGAGAUUUCCUUCCAUCUUGUAACAAUAACAUGCCCAAAACUACUGUUUGUGCGUCAUGUCAAUUAGGCAAGCAUCCUAGGCUGCCAUUUUCUUCCUCUCUUUCUGUAACAUCAGCACCUUUCCAAUUAUUACAUUGCGAUUUAUGGACUUCUCCCGUAUGUAGUUUU